UCGGACGUGGUGCAUGGGCACGUCGCACGUCCUUCCUUGAAGUCACGAAGGGGAGCGCCCGGGUUCGAAUCUCGGCGUCUGAA